AAACAAACAAACAAACCUGACAGUGUAUC
rnacentral:piRNA from 1 species